CCUACGGGCGGCUGCAGUGGGGAAUAUUGGACAAUGGGGGGAACCCUGAUCCAGCCAUGCCGCGUGUGUGAAGAAGGCCCUCGGGUUGUAAAGCACUUUCAGUGAGGAAGAACGCCUGGUGGUUAAUACCCAUCAGGAAAGACAUCACUCACAGAAGAAGCACCGGCUAACUCCGUGCCAGCAGCCGCGGUAAUACGGAGGGUGCGAGCGUUAAUCGGAAUUACUGGGCGUAAAGCGCGCGUAGGUGGCUUGAUAAGCCGGUUGUGAAAGCCCCGGGCUCAACCUGGGAACGGCAUCCGGAACUGUCAAGCUAGAGUGCAGGAGAGGAAGGUAGAAUUCCCGGUGUAGCGGUGAAAUGCGUAGAGAUCGGGAGGAAUACCAGUGGCGAAGGCGGCUUUCUGGACUGACACUGACACUGAGGUGCGAAAGCGUGGGUAGCAAACAGGAUUAGAUACCCCUGUAGUC
rnacentral:rRNA from 1 species